rnacentral:lncRNA from 1 species
GCUCAGUGAAGGCCUUAAGUUAAACCCAAGUUCAAACUCAGACUGACUGAGCACUUAUCCCAUGCAAGGAUCCAGAAUGAAUCAGAAACAGGUACAUAAGAAUUUCAGAGCAAGGGAGGUGCCCUCAGAAGCUGGCAUUGUACAGGAAAGUCCCUGCUGCUGGUCAGCUGACAUCUUGUCAUCACAUUCAGACCAGGGCUCAUCGCAGACAGGAGUUCAACAAAAGGACAGGAAACAAUGUCAACCCAGCCAACUGGGAUCUGUCCCACAGCCAAGAGAUCAACACAGUAAGGGUGCAGAGAAAGAAGGCCUCAUUCCCACAGACAGGCUGGCAGGAAGAAACACUGAGACAGCAAUGUGUGAUUUGGAUCUUGAAGGAUGUGUGCAAAGUCCAGCAAGUGGAGAAGGAAUUUAUUAGGACUUAAUAACAACAAUUCUACUCUCUUUAACCUGAGAGGGUUCUUUCACACUCAACAGCUGUUAUCCUUGAUAUCCUUUAUUUACCAGACAAAUCAGGCAGCUUCACGUGCUGGUGGCUCUCGAUAAUAACAGGAAAGGGAAAAACAAAAAAGAAUCCUCAUUAGUUUACAAGGUCACUAACCAUCCAUGAUCAUGGCUGGAAACUGCUAAUCCAAACAGCAAUGGUUUUGAGUAGAGGAGCAAGA